UGUUGGAAAGGGAGGAGAAUGAGGUAGGCAAUUCGUUUAUGACUUUUAAAGCAUGCAUGUUGGUUAUCUCCCUAACCUUGGUCCUAGAAUUUACAAGAUAGAUGCAUUUUACUUAAUUAAAAAAACUCAUUUCAUAGCCUCUCCCUCUCGCUCGUCAGUCUUCUACACUUUUCCAUUUGCACAUCUGAUGUUUGACGUUGAAAGUGGAUGCUCCAAAUGGAGCACUUUGCAAAUGUUGUUGCUCCUUAUAUUAUUCCUAUAUUUAGGGAUAAAAGAUGAAUAUGCACGUGGACAGAUCAGAAGAGGAGUUGGGGUUUCUAUAAAUAAGACAAGUAUUGCUUCCUAUAAGAGACAAACAUAAUCUCACACAAACAUGGAAAGAUUAGAAAACAGAAAAUGAGGAAGUAUUUCUAUCUUUAGUAUCAGGAGAGGAAUACUUGUGCACAAGUAUCUAAAGAGCAAAUGAGGUGCAGACCACUCACCGAGUUUUGAAGCAUGCAUUUUGGUUAUCCCUCCACAGUUGGUUAGGAUUCAGGUUCUCAUAUCACAUAUCAAGCUUCAAUUAAAAUUCAUUUUCUUCAUGUCAUUCCCUUUCCCUCUUACCCUUUUUUACGUGAGUGGCUUCUCUUUUUGAUGCUUAAGAUGGCUGCUUUGAGUGUUAAGAGACAAACACAACUAAUCAACAAUAAUAAAAACUUCCAUUAAGAAAGGAAAUUGCAAUGAUUCUUUAACCUCUUGGAACCUGUAAUAAUAUUGUAUCCCAUUUGUGAACCAGUAUGAUAUACUUGUGGAGCAUUCUAAGGAAAAAUGGAUAUUUCUCGAACAGUUUCAGCGGAUAAUACACAGUUACAGCCUGGUUGUAGACAGGUAUUUCUCCUUAGAAUGUUUUUGGUGUUCAAACGAUCAUCAAGUAAAAGCCAAGCAAAGAACUUUAAUUUGGGCACGCACUUGCUUUUUCAAAUCCAUUUCAAGGACAAAGGUGGAUGUAUAGCACUGAAAUUGAAUUUAUACAAUUUCUGAUCAGCAUAUAUUUAGGUGAUCCCCAUAUGUAAUUCCACGAAUCAUCAGGACCAUAUGUUCUCUGAGCCUGUCCAAAUCUGCCUGCAGGUUGAGAUAUUCAUUAUAUGCUUGUCAUGUUGGAAAAGCUCUGCCAAGUUUAAAAGGCCUUAUUUAAGGAAUUAUUGUAGCAUGUUUCUAGACCUACUUGGUAGUGAACAUAUUGCCUCCGCUAUGGAUUAUUCAGAUAGUUAUUUUAGCUAUUCAAAUUAUGAAUCUAAAAACAAUAAUCACAUACAAGAGGCUAUGAUAAAUAAUAGGCAUGUUUCAGAUUUUAAUGCCACUAGCAACAUACAAAAUGCACCUAUGUAUUUUCAUAUAUUGCAUUGCAACAAGCUAUCCUGCUGUUGAACAAUCAACAAGGCUGAACUGAUGACUUUAUCAAUGCUAGUUAUUCAGGAGGAAGAACGCUGCUGAGCUUAUUCAACAAUAGGUCGACGACAAUAAUAGCAAGCGGGGCAAACAGACCAUAUGGAAUCCCGCCUUGUUAGAUUGUUCUCUUGCAACAUUAAAUUCUGCAAUCUCGUGUGAUGGAUGUCUCCAUAGCUCUUCUUGAUCUCUUUUCUCUAUGGAGCUCUAUCAGGUAGAGGGGCAUGAGCCCCUCUAUCUCCACGUUUGAUCCUCCCCUUAAAGCUCUGGUGACUGCCAGAUGUAUCUAGACACAUUCCAAGUUCGCCUUGAUGAAUCUUAAGAAUAAAUCAGGUACUGGAGGCUUGAUGAAUGGAACAAAUCCUCUGGAAUGUCUCCCUCUAUUUUGAUGGAGUUGAGAUCCAAAUAUGCAGGUUGGGCAUCAUUCCGAACCCAGCCGGCAUGGGAUUAGAAACCAACAGCCGUCCAGUUUACAUGGUAAUAGAGCCGCUCUACAAUCUCAUAUAUGGCGAGCUCCUCUUCCAACCGAGCACUAGCCCUUGUGUCUCUACUUUCGGGCACCCAGUGACGGAGAAGCUCACCACAAAUAACCACCUGCUUUUUUUACCAGCAGCACAAUGGAGUUCAGACUUAGCCAACCAUUGAAGUACACUACCAUGUACUGACCUUUGACAACAUGGUGUACUAAUAAUACUACACAUUAAGCAUCAGAUUUGUUUUAUAACAAGGAUGCAUAUAUAGAUAGCAAGCGUGUUGCAUUUGAAGUCUUGUUUGGGGAUCUAAAAUAGUCUAAAAGCCCAGUUUAUUAGAGGCUAUGAUUGGGGUUAUAUAGGCGUGCCCCUUCCAGGCCUAAAAUCAUUCGCUCAAGGUUGGGUCCAGCCCAAUUCAUCUUUCUAUCAGUUUGAAAUGUUUUUGGGCUAAUUUCUCAUCCUGCUGGACGUCACAUUGUAACAAUGGAAAGCUUCAUAUAUUUUCUUGUGAUGCAGGGGCCAGGAUAAUUUUAUUCCAUUACUAUCUUUUAACAUUUUCUUUAUGUGCAACUGAAAGCAUAAUUUCAACAAGAAUGGAGAAGCUAGCAGAAGAAUGGUGGCAAGAAAAUUAGACAAGGUAUAUGCCCAUAUAAGGUUAUUGUGGUCAACAAAUCAAAUGCGAAUCUGUAUACCAUAUAUAAACGGAGCCCACUAAACCUCAUUUAUUGUUUCCACAUUGAGCCACAUCAUCUACAAGAUUAUGUCCAUCCAGUUUUAAGCCCAAGUUCAAUCAUGUUCGUUCAUUCAUUAUCCGCGCUCAAGUCUUUCCAUCUCCUGUACAGGCAUCAGUCUGGCUGUAGGUUUUUUAUUUGCCAACUUCUGUAAAUUAAGAAAAUUGGGUCACUAAUUUUUGUAUGCUUCCAAAAUCUGCUAUGUUUCCUUCCAUAGGUCCACACUGAACAAAUUAACUGGUAAGCUUUCCAUCAAUUUGCA